UAUAUGGCAAAGGGCAGCAGCCCACAGAAAAGCUGGAUCUGAAGUGUUACUACUGAAAGUGAAAGGCAAAGCUUCCUGAAACCUCUGUAAAACUGGACAGAGAAUCAGAAUUUCACUGGGCACUUUAUAAUAUGUAAAAAGACCUGGGAGAGGAACAGGAUUUGAAAAAGCACAUGAGUGAGCUGUCCAGAAUUCUCCUACUUGACUUUAUGGACUGGGUCCCCUCCCACACAGGGUUGACAGAGACACACAAGAAGAAAGGAACUAUUUUGUUGAAUAAAGGGAGAAAAAGAAGAGAAGGGGAAUAGGUAAAACUGCAUAGGAAUAGGUAAAACCACAAAACAAUAGCUUUUCAGCUUCUGAUAUUUUAAAUGAAGUUUGUUUACUGGCAUUUGGAAGUUUUUUAUCUGUAGCAAGGCCCAUUCUCUUAUUCUUAUCUCAUCUUCAGUGGGCAGAUGCUCAUUUUUCCACUGACAUCUGCCUUGCCAAGGCCAUCAGUGACCCAAGCUGCAUUCACAUCCAUCAGAUGAAGAAAUCCUAUGGAUUAAGGAGCUUCUGAACUGGACAACAAACACACUGCAGAUGAAUAAACCAAGGGAGAAAGUUUAACAACAGCAGUGAAAGUCAACAACAGAGCUGGGAUUAAAUUCAGAAGAAUCAUGUUUUUUAGCAAAGUUAACAGAAUUAACACACACAGAAAAGGAUCACAACUGGCUACCACUUCCACAGUAAUGCUCCAGACACUGCUGGCUUCCCAAGGAUCACAGGGAUCCCACUCCAACAAACAUGAAGAAACACACUGUUGCUUAUCAAGUGACUGCAGAUCACUUGUCCCCCACUGUCUGUGAUUUUAUCUCCUCCAGAAACCAGCCUUGGUCUGUGCCUCCUUGCAGACAAGGCAUCUUGAACAGGCUGUUGGUGCUCCUUCAUGAAGACAUUCUCUGCUCACUACUCCUUAUCAAGCUACUCAGAAGUUAUUUCAAGUUUCCCAUAUUUUCAGUUAUGCAACUGAAAUUAAAUUUCAAAUGCAUCAGUGGAUUGAUAGUCCUCACCCAUAACUCAGGUGGUGCUAUCUUUAUCCAGACUUACUGGUUCACACUCAGGACACAGCAUUAAGGCUUUAUUUAUUAAAUAUAAUAUAUGCACAGAAGCAUAUACUAUAUUUAACUGGAAAUACCCCAUCUAUUUACACAGGUUGAAUAUUAAUAAUGCACCCAGUCUAGACAAUCUAAUGUCAGAGGCAGUCUCCUCAAAAAAAUACAGAAAUAGCCUGACACUAAAUUUUCACAAAUAAUCCCUUUCCUCAAUAAUAAUUGCACAUCUCUCUGUAUUUGAGGAUCAGUAUCUCAAUGAAAUUUGUUGAAAAUAUUGUGCUAUUUGUAGAAAAAACACAUCAUCUUUACAAGAAGGAAGGGUCUUCCUCCAGUUCAUCAGUUUUGGAUUAUUUACGAUUUUUUUCAUUCCAAAUCAGUUUUGUGCCACGUACAUCAUGAUUCUUGGAUUUUCAACCCCACAACUACUCAGUUGGUAGAGAGAGGUACAGUCCUGAAGAUUCAUUAGCAGAGAUGUGGUUUGCUCUUAUCUCACACUUGAUCUAAAUGUGUUUUCAUGACAAAUCAAGGAUGGAGAAAGCCAGGACUUAAUCAAACAGACUUUUGUGUUAUCUUCCCACUAUCCUACAACUGCACCAAGGAUGGGGAACUCACUGCUUACAUCAGAGCUGCAGGUGGUCACUAAUCAACAUAUUUAAACAAUGAAAUGUGCCAUAUGUGUGGGUUCAAACCAGUUUUGGAAUUUGAGCAUCUGAAGACACUCACAGUGCCCACAAGCUCUUGCUAAAUGAUUACACUGAUGUUUCCCCUGACAUGACAAUCCUUGCCUACAGUCUUCAGUGUACUUAAAAUUCCCCUUUUAUGGCAGAAGACAAAUCAUAUCUGCAUAUCUGAAAGAGCACCACAAAGCCCUCAACUUUGAGCCCUCAGCCUCCUGCAGACCCCAGUGGAGGCACCAUCCCAUGGCCAGGAAGAGCUUCAGCAGCUCUGAGGGAACAAUCCUGGUCAAGGACAGCACAGACACAAUGGAAAAUCCCGAGGUGAGAAGGCAAGAAAAGUACAAGUACUGUUUUUAAAUGGAAAAGGCUAUCCAGCAGGAAUGGCCAGGGUGCAACUGAACCAAGAGUCAGCAGAAGUGCAGAAGAAAACCAAUCCCUAAGAGCUCUGAUACAAAAGUUAAA